UUGACCUCGAAUCAGGUAGGAAUACCCGCUGAACUUAAGCAUAUCAAUAAGCGGAGGAAAAGAAACCAACAGGGAUUGCCCCAGUAACGGCGAGUGAAGCGGCAACAGCUCAAAUUUGAAAUCUGGCCCCUAGGGCCCGAGUUGUAAUUUGCAGAGGAUGCUUUUGGCGAGGUGCCUUCCGAGUUCCCUGGAACGGGACGCCAUAGAGGGUGAGAGCCCCGUCUGGUUGGAUACCGAGCCUCUGUAAAGCUCCUUCGACGAGUCGAGUAGUUUGGGAAUGCUGCUCUAAAUGGGAGGUAUAUGUCUUCUAAAGCUAAAUAUUGGCCAGAGACCGAUAGCGCACAAGUAGAGUGAUCGAAAGAUGAAAAGCACUUUGAAAAGAGGGUUAAAAAGUACGUGAAAUUGUUGAAAGGGAAGCGCUCAUGACCAGACUUGGGCCCGGUGAAUCACCCAGCGUUCUCGCUGGGGCACUUUGCCGGGCUCAGGCCAGCAUCAGUUUGCCUUGGGGGAUAAAGACUUCGGGAAUGUGGCUCCUCCGGGAGUGUUAUAGCCCGUUGUGUAAUACCCUGGG
rnacentral:rRNA from 2 species